rnacentral:rRNA from 1 species
GAUGAACGCUGGCGGCGUGCUUAACACAUGCAAGUCGAACGGAAAGGCUCCUGCUUGCAGGGGUAGUCGAGUGGCGAACGGGUGAGUAACACGUGGGUGAUCUGCCCUGCACUUCGGGAUAAGCCUGGGAAACUGGGUCUAAUACCGGAUAGGACGAUGGUUUGGAUGCCAUUGUGGAAAGUUUUUCGGUGUGGGAUGAGCUCGCGGCCUAUCAGCUUGUUGGUGGGGUAAUGGCCUACCAAGGCGUCGACGGGUAGCCGGCCUGAGAGGGUGUACGGCCACAUUGGGACUGAGAUACGGCCCAGACUCCUACGGGAGGCAGCAGUGGGGAAUAUUGCACAAUGGGCGCAAGCCUGAUGCAGCGACGCCGCGUGGGGGAUGACGGCCUUCGGGUUGUAAACUCCUUUCGCUAGGGACGAAGCGUUUUGUGACGGUACCUGGAGAAGAAGCACCGGCUAACUACGUG